rnacentral:rRNA from 1 species
UACAGAGGUGGCAAGCGUUGUUCGGAAUUACUGGGCGUAAAGGGCGCGUAGGCGGUCUUCUAAGUCCUGUGUGAAAUCCCUCGGCUCAACUGAGGAACUGCACGGGAUACUGGAUGACUUGAGUUCGGGAGAGGGAAGCGGAAUUCCGGGUGUAGCGGUGAAAUGCGUAGAUAUCCGGAGGAACACCGGUGGCGAAGGCGGCUUCCUGGACCGAUUACUGACGCUGAGGCGCGAAAGCUAGGGGAGCAAACGGG